rnacentral:lncRNA from 1 species
GGACACACAGAAGUCACCAUCUAUAAGAAACAGGCUCCCACCAGACACUGAGUCUGCUGGAGCCUUGAUCUUGAAUUUCCCAACCUCCAGAACUGUGGCCACCAGACUUUCUCUGCUUGUAUCCUCCCAGGACCACAGAACUCAUCGCAUCCCAAGGCAGCCUAUUCCAUCAUGGAUGAGCUCAAAGUGUUUGAAAGUUCUGCUUUAUCAAAACCCUUGAUGGCCUGCUUCCCAUCCUCCAUCCUGGAAGACUGAUCUGAAACCCCAGGAGGAGGUCCUCUGAGCCCUGAGGCAGAGAUAUCUCACCUGGAAGAUGGGUCUAAUGACUGCACCCCACACACACCAGAGAGGACUGCAGAUAGUGCGGGGUGAGAGGAAGAUCUCUGGCCCUGGAGACAGCAUCAUCAAGCGGUAGCUUCAUCUUUGGGAGCUGGGGCCUCUGCAGGAGCUUUACCCUCCUCUCUCCAUGCUGAGCCUGUCUCAACCCCCUAACCUGCACCCCAGUCUUUUGGGGUCACCUCAAGGCUUUGGCUGAUGCUUCUUUGCUGACGUCAACCAAGAAAACAUAUGAGGAAGAAAAUAGCAGAUGAGAAGAAUCAACCAAAUUCCGGAAGCUGGAAGGCAGAUGCAAGAAGGCCCUUGAAUGAUGCCAGCACCUUGAUAUUGGACUUUCCAGCCUCCAGAACCAUGAGCCAAUACAUUUCUGUUCCAUAAAAAUUACCCAGUUCCAGGUAUUCUGCUAUAGCAGCACAAAAUGGACUAAAACAAUGUUGGCACAAGACUCAGUGCUGGGCCUGGCAUGCAACAGGUCCUUGGAGUGGCGUGCUGUGUGGAUAAUGAAUAUUGGGGAAGGCAUCUCUCUCCAGCCCCUCUCAAGCUUUCUGUAGUCACUGGUCCACUCUGUAUUGCUAUGAAGAAGCUCAAGACCAGCCUGUAUCACUCGGGGUCCUGGCAGGAACCAGGUGCCACACUCAAACUGAGUAAUUGAAGAGGGUUUAAUAUGGGAGUUAUUUACAAAGGUGUGGGCUGGUGUAGCUGCCCAUAUGCCCUCGAAAUCACCUCUACAUGGCAAUAGCUACUUACUGCUAACAGAGUCUCUCUCUCUCAUUGCUGCAAAUAUUUUCUAGCCAUGCAAGAAACUCAGCCAGUCAUGUUGAACAAACUAAGAGUGCCAGAAAGUUAAUGUCCUGGAAGCAUUGCCAGAGGGGAGGGGGCAGUUAGAUUCCCCAGCUUCCUCGCUCCUCAGCUGGGUUAAGCCUGCAACAUAUUCAUCAUCUCCCAGAGUGCUGCCCAGGGAUAGAGCUCCAGGUGCUCAGUGUGGUGACCUGCUCAUGUCAGCUUCUUCCCCUUUCCUGUCUUGUUUCGCACCCACAUCCUUCCCAUGUUUCCUCUUCCCAAAUAAACUACUUGCAUUGAAA